rnacentral:hammerhead_ribozyme from 2 species
UUAGGCCGUUACCUACAACUGAUGAGCUCUGAGAAGAGCGACACCAAUUAGGUCCUGUAGUAGUGGCCUAGUAAACA